ACCCUCGCCAACAACAACCAUUGUGGAGCCACUGCUUUGCCACCAUCGAGAGCUAUUGUAGGUGGUCGGCCCUAGGUCUUCCACCACCAUGAUUGGGAGAAAGAAAAGGAGAGGAUAUCCUCUGUUUUCAUGAAGAAGAGAAGAAGAGAGAGUUCUUCUCUCUCUUCCUUCCUCCCUCUCUUCUCUAGUCAGUUUUAUUUUUUUAUUUUUUCUUAGAUGUAUCAAG
rnacentral:lncRNA from 1 species